ACGAACGCUGGCGGCGUGCUUAACACCUGCAAGUCGAACGGAAAGGCCCUGCUUUUGUGGGGUGCUCGAGUGGCGAACGGGUGAGUAACACGUGAGUAACCUGCCCUUGACUUUGGGAUAACUUCAGGAAACUGGGGCUAAUACCGGAUAGGAGCUCCUGCUGCAUGGUGGGGGUUGGAAAGUUUCGGCGGUUGGGGAUGGACUCGCGGCUUAUCAGCUUGUUGGUGGGGUAGUGGCUUACCAAGGCUUUGACGGGUAGCCGGCCUGAGAGGGUGACCGGCCACAUUGGGACUGAGAUACGGCCCAGACUCCUACGGGAGGCAGCAGUGGGGAAUAUUGCACAAUGGGCGGAAGCCUGAUGCAGCAACGCCGCGUGCGGGAUGACGGCCUUCGGGUUGUAAACCGCUUUCGCCUGUGACGAAGCGUGAGUGACGGUAAUGGGGAAAGAAGCACCGGCUAACUACGG
rnacentral:rRNA from 1 species